UCACGUGGAUGUGUGGCCAAGAUGGAAUCGUACUGGUCACAGGUCCGGAUCCCAUCCAGUAGGUUGGUGACACACGCCCGCCACAGCCCCUGGCACUUGUGGCUUACCUGGGAGCGGACGAAGCAGGUAACCUGAGGAAGGGGGCAGUCCACUUCCACUCAAGGGAGGGAGCCUGCGGCUUCGUCAGGUUCACAGACGAGUCGUUUUUCCCUGCUUCAACCCUUAAGCUCCUCGAGGACAGGAUCUGCGGGUCACCCUCCCAGAUCUCUCGGGGUUCACCCUCCAGCCCCUCAUUCUUUAUUCUUUUCUCCCCCCACUUCCCCAGCAUUGAGCCUUAGCACCGAGGAGAACGCCUGGCCUCGGGAACCUUCUCUUAGUUUUCCUUGCACUGUGGCUGGGAAAUAAGCGGAUGCCAACAGAUAAGCGUCGCGCUAGAGAAAGCAUCGCUUUCCACCGAGUCCUUGUCCUGCCCGACCAGGUGGGCAAGGCAGGACCAGUUCAAGGCGUACGGGCGGGCUGGGAUUGGGGCCAGGAGGAGCGUUGGAAAGGGACCUCUACUGGGCUCGAAAUGACGGACGACGGUUGGAGACAGAGUAGGUCCUAGAAAGACGGACCGGAGCUUGGGAGUAGGACCGGGACCCGAAGGCUGUCGUCGGAGUUAACCACCCAGCAGUCGGUCCAAGUGGCUGUGAGCAGCAAGGCCGUAGAAAGCAGGGCCAGGCAGCCCUCCCUACCCUUCCUCCCCACCUCCAACCCACCGAGGGGCCGACCUGCGCAGACGGCUUCUGGACCAGGGCCUGG